rnacentral:rRNA from 1 species
AUUGAACGCUGGCGGCAUGCUUUACACAUGCAAGUCGAACGGUAACAGGCCGCAAGGUGCUGACGAGUGGCGAACGGGUGAGUAAUGCAUCGGAACGUGCCCAGUCGUGGGGGAUAACGCAGCGAAAGCUGCGCUAAUACCGCAUACGAUCUAUGGAUGAAAGCGGGGGACCGUAAGGCCUCGCGCGAUUGGAGCGGCCGAUGUCAGAUUAGGUAGUUGGUGAGGUAAAGGCUCACCAAGCCGACGAUCUGUAGCUGGUCUGAGAGGACGACCAGGCACACUGGGACUGAGACACGGCCCAGACUCCUACGGGAGGCAGCAGUGGGGAAUUUUGGACAAUGGGGGCAACCCUGAUCCAGCAAUGCCGCGUGCAGGAAGAAGGCCUUCGGGUUGUAAACUGCUUUUGUACGGAACGAAACGGCUCUGGUUAAUACCUGGGGCUAAUGACGGUACCGUAAGAAUAAGCACCGGCUAACUACGUGCCAGCAGCCGCCGUAACAC